AAAGGAUUAGUUUAAUUUUAGAAUUUUUGACUCUUAAUCAUAAGGUUUAUUCUUUAG
rnacentral:tRNA from 1 species